rnacentral:rRNA from 1 species
UGGGGAAUAUUGCACAAUGGGCGGAAGCCUGAUGCAGCGACGCCGCGUGAGGGAUGACGGCCUUCGGGUUGUAAACCUCUUUCAGUAGGGAAGAAGCGCAAGUGACGGUACCUGCAGAAGAAGCGCCGGCUAACUACGUGCCAGCAGCCGCGGUAAUACGUAGGGCGCAAGCGUUGUCCGGAAUUAUUGGGCGUAAAGAGCUCGUAGGCGGUUUGUCGCGUCUGCUGUGAAAGCCCGGGGCUCAACCCCGGGUCUGCAGUGGGUACGGGCAGACUAGAGUGCAGUAGGGGAGACUGGAAUUCCUGGUGUAGCGGUGAAAUGCGCAGAUAUCAGGAGGAACACCGAUGGCGAAGGCAGGUCUCUGGGC